rnacentral:rRNA from 1 species
UACAGAGGUCUCAAGCGUUGUUCGGAUUCAUUGGGCGUAAAGGGUGCGUAGGUGGCGCUGUAAGUCGGGUGUGAAAUUUCGGAGCUUAACUCCGAAACUGCAUUCGAUACUGCGGUGCUUGAGGACUGGAGAGGAGACUGGAAUUUAUGGUGUAGCAGUGAAAUGCGUAGAGAUCGGGAGGAACACCAGUGGCGAAGGCGACUGCCUGGGGGAAAACUGACGCUGAGGCGCGAAAGCUGGGGGAGCGAACAGG